AACGUGUUAGCUUAAUGGUUAAAGUAUUGUGCUACGGACACAAUUGAUGCAAGUUCGACUCUUGUGCACGUUU
rnacentral:tRNA from 1 species